rnacentral:lncRNA from 10 species
GGGGUGUUUGGGAUGCGGCACGGCGAGGGGGAGCAGGCUUGGCUCGGGCGUAGGGAAUUGGUUUUUUUGUUUUAGCUAUCCAGGUUGUGACUGGUUUACAUAAUUACACGAUUAAGCCAUCAUUGUAGGAAAGGCUUUGCAGGAGAAAAAUGUCUUAACUGGAGGUCUUUGAGACAGAAAAACCCUGCCUCAGCCCUUGGGUCCUGAGAGUCGCGUUUCUUCUCCCCUUCGCUUAAAUAUGUAAACCAGAAUCAUUAUGUUUGGUUCAUGGAACGGAGGAAAAAAAUCCGUGUGCAGGGUCGAGACUGUCGUGGCGGAAGCCGCAGCACCCGGGAGGCAGAAAGUUGAGCUCAGACGGUCACCCGCCAAUUACCUUCUGCUGUGCGGCC